rnacentral:rRNA from 1 species
AACGAACGCUGGCGGCAUGCCUAACACAUGCAAGUCGAACGAUGCCUCCGGGCAUAGUGGCGCACGGGUGCGUAACGCGUGGGAAUCUGCCUUUGGGUUCGGAAUAACUCGCCGAAAGGCGAGCUAAUACCGGAUGAUGACGUAAGUCCAAAGAUUUAUCGCCCAAGGAUGAGCCCGCGUAGGAGUAGCUAGUUGGUGGGGUAAAGGCCCGCCAAGGCGACGAUCCUUAGCUGGUCUGAGAGGAUGAUCAGCCACACUGGGACUGAGACACGGCCCAGACUCCUACGGGAGGCAGCAGUGGGGAAUAUUGGACAGUGGGCGAAAGCCUGAUCCAGCACUGCCGGGUGAGUGAUGAAGGCCUUAGGGUUGUAAAGCUCUUUUACCCGGGAUGAUAAUGACAGUACCGGGAGAAUAAGCUCCGGCUAACUACGUG